AAUCCGGUUGAUCCUGCCGGAGGUCACUGCUAUUGGAGUUCGACUAAGCCAUGCGAGUCGCCAGUUGUGUAAGUACUAGCAAUAGUUCUUCCGCAGCUGGGGCGGACUGCUCAGUAACACGUGGGCAAUCUGCCCUCAGGACAGGGAUAACCUCGGGAAACUGAGGAUAAUACCUGAUAGGCGAAGAAUUCUGGAAUGAUUCUCCGCUCAAAACAAAUGCGCAAGCAUUUGUGCCUGAGGAUGAGCCUGCGGCCGAUUAGGUUGUUGGCGGUAUAGAGGACCACCAAGCCUGAGAUCGGUACGGGCACUGAGAGGUGAAGCCCGGAGAUGGGGGCUGAGACACGGCCCCAGGCCCUACGGGGCGCAGCAG
rnacentral:rRNA from 1 species